CCCAAACCCAUGUGAACAUACCUAACGUUGCCUCGGCAGGUCGCACCUACCUUGUAGCACCCUACCCUGUAGGGCCUACCCGGGAGGUGCGGGUAAGCCUGCCGGCGGCCCACCAAACUCUGUUUGAUAUUGAAUUCUGAACCUAUAACUAAAUAAGUUAAAACUUUCAACAACGGAUCUCUUGGUUCUGGCAUCGAUGAAGAACGCAGCGAAAUGCGAUAAGUAAUGUGAAUUGCAGAAUUCAGUGAAUCAUCGAAUCUUUGAACGCAUAUUGCGCCCAUUAGUAUUCUAGUGGGCAGGACCGUUCGAGCGUCAUUUCAACCCUUAAGCCUUCGUUGCUUAGUGUUGGGAGCCUACGGCAACGUAGCUCCUCAAAGUUAGUGGCGGAGUUGGUUCACACUCUAGACGUAGUAAUUUUUUAUCUCGCCUAUUAGUUGGACUAAUCCCCUGCCGUAAAACCCCCAAUUUAUCAAGGUUGACCUCGAAUCGGUUCAGACAAACUCGCUAAAUUGAAGCAUCUUAGUCAGCGAAGGAAAAGAAACCAACAGGGAUUGCCCUAGUAACGGCGAGUGAAGCGGCAACAGCUCAAAUUUGAAAUCUGGCCCUCGGGUCCGAGUUGUAAUUUGUAGAGGAUGCUUUUGGCGCGGUGCCUUCCGAGUUCCCUGGAACGGGACGCCUUAGAGGGUGAGAGCCCCGUACGGUUGGACACCAAGCCUCUGUAAAGCUCCUUCGACGAGUCGAGUAGCUUGGGAAUGCUGCUCUAAAUGGGAGGUAAAUUUCUUCUAAAGCUAAAUAUUGGCCAGA
rnacentral:rRNA from 1 species